rnacentral:rRNA from 1 species
GAUGAACGCUGGCGGCGUGCUUAACACAUGCAAGUCGAACGAAGCAUCUUAGACAGAAGCCUUCGGGCGGAAGACUAUGGUGACUUAGUGGCGGACGGGUGAGUAACGCGUGGGUAACCUGCCCUGUACUGGGGGACAACAGUUGGAAACGACUGCUAAUACCGCAUAAGCGCACAGCAUCGCAUGAUGCAGUGUGAAAAACUCCGGUGGUACAGGAUGGACCCGCGUCUGAUUAGCUAGUUGGUGAGGUAACGGCUUACCAAGGCAACGAUCAGUAGCCGACUUGAGAGAGUGAUCGGCCACAUUGGGACUGAGACACGGCCCAAACUCCUACGGGAGGCAGCAGUGGGGAAUAUUGCACAAUGGGGGAAACCCUGAUGCAGCGACGCCGCGUGAAGGAAGAAGUAUUUCGGUAUGUAAACUUCUAUCAGCAAGGAAGAAAAUGACGGUACUUGACUAAGAAGCCCCGGCUAAAUACGUGC